rnacentral:lncRNA from 1 species
AUAUAAGAGAAAACAAAUAUGGUUAACCUUUAUUCAAAAUUGACGAAGUGGAAGAGGCAAUCUCUUAACUAGUUUCUUGCUGUUCAGAAUUUGGGUCUUGAUCGUCCUGAUCUGAAAUAGUUAAUAAUAAAAGGGUGAGCUACACUAGCUCAGUAAGAAUAUCAACACCUUACCACUGAUACAGAAAGUCAGAAGGUUGU